GUGGAACAUAACUUGGAACAGCAGUAGGUAGAUUUGCAAAAUCAGUUUAGCCCGUCGAAGGCGCACAAUUUAUCGAUUCGGAUUCGGUGGAGCUUUUUGAAAAUUGAGUUUUAGUUGAUUCAAAAGCAGUCCGUCCGUGAUGUUGAAGUGACUCUGCUCGAGGAGCAAAUAUGAAAUUGAACAAAUGAAAUUGGCUUAUGUAUGACUCGUUUGAAAGUGAACCUGUUCUGCUGAAUGUGUGCUUGUGCGAACAAAGAGUAGUUUGCAUCUGGUUGUGAAUCAUAUGAUGCGAGAGACAUUUGAUAUGCUUUGAAAUCCACGAUGCUGAUUUGAUUGAAACUUUUAUUAGUGGUAACUUGAGUUACGUUAGAUGUUAUUCGCUGUAUUAUAUUAUGGCAAACCCGUACACAAGGGAGGGGUUUUGAGGGUUAAACACCUCACAUUGCCAAAGUUCCAUACACUAUAGGCGCCCCUGGUGUCCGAUCAUUUAGCCGAAUACCAUUUGGCCGAAUGCCAUUUCUAUUCUAUCUGUCCAUAAGAUCAUCAGAUUUUUUUUUUCCUUAAAUCAUAUGUAACGAUGGUUUCGUUCCUUUUUUAAUAGAAAUUGUAUUUUAUAUUUUAAUGCCCUUAAAAUAUGUUACAAAAAAGAUAAAACUUUUCUUAGCGUGUUUACGCAUAUGUCUGCAAGUUUUUAAAAGCUUUCAUUUAGCUAUGCGCUACCUAUGAACAAUUCGAGGUACCUGUGAUUCAAAAAGGCAUGAAGAAAAUUAUAACAUUUAAAACUUGUGCAGGUCUACAUUUAGGCGCAUCAGCUUGCUGCCCGAAUUCCUAUGAAAAUGGAAAAUUCCGUCCAGAAAUUGCGCAGUAGAGAAAAAUUUGAACUGAUUAAAGAGCUAAAUUCUCAAUAAUCCAUUUUCCAAUCCGCGUAUACUUUGUAAGCUCUCAGUACAUGAUCGUAUGGGAAAUUGCGUCGUAAGUUGAAAUAACUAAUCAACCCAAACGCGAUCGACCAUCAUUUCUGGUGGAGUUCUCAAACAGUCAAGAUCAAAAUCAAAAAGUGGUGAAUUUAUCAUAAUCGAUAUUUGCUAUCGAUAAAUAAUUCUAGCAGUUUAAAACUAAACUCGAAUUCUUUUUUUGAGUUAUAUUAGCUUUUUCUAGUGAGAAGGAUCUUAGUCUCAGUGCCUGUCUGCGAGACUAGAAUAAGGCCAAGCCCAACCAACGAGGGCGGUUAGUGUGGGCCGCGUCGGACUAGUGUUGACCAGUUCCUGUCCGCAUCGGCCAUCGUGGGUCAUUUUGGAUCCGUUUCGCCUGGUUAAGAGUCGGUCUGAAGUUCGUCUGUGAAGACCGAGGACGUUGGGAGAACAAACCCACCGUUCGACCACGUGGGCAACCGUGAAACUGGACUCAGGCCUCCAGGACGCUCUUCGAGCCACCGCCAAACUACGUUUGGACAUUUUUUCCGAACUGCUCGAUCAGAAGUCGAAUCCCACAAGCAAGGUGCUUGAGUGUCUAUUUCUGGUAAGUUACCGAAUCGGAAUCCCGUCUAGCCAAACCGGUGCGAUCAGAGCCUCGUCAACUGGCUCGGUACUCCACCGUUUCCGGGGACAUCUCUACCCCGACGAUUUCGCACACCCGGGACUGAUUCGACCUUCGGAAUCCGCCUCGCACCUCAGAAUCGGUACUCGACGUGGGAUUAGCUGUGGUGAGUAGACUGCCAGCUCGUAGCUACGUUGGACUUCGAGGGACCUAGGCCCGCCAAACAAGGUCAGACCUUUUUUAUUGUGCACGAAGAAUAUUUUUCCCUAGGGGAAGCUUACCUAAAAUAGAAUAAUCAAUUAGAUCCUUUGGUGACGUCACAAAUAGAAAUGCGCAACCCUCAAUAAAGUAAUUUGUUUUGAUCAUUAGUUGAAACUUGUAAAACUCAAAACAAGACUGCUUUCCUAGUUUUCAAUAAAAUUUCGUAAAUUGAUUAUCAUUUCAUACUUCUAGUUGAGUUGAACUGUUUAUUUUUUCCGCGCGCUAAGUUUGUGACCCAUAUUGAGUUGAUUUUUAGUUUAGCCGAGACACACUCCUUGAUCGAUCGUGUGAUUGAGGCGUAUUGAGUUAGUGUGGUUUGAAAUUGGAUUGAUUUAGCUUCGGUUGGUUCGUUCAAAUUGUAGUUUUAGCAUUCUGGAAACACUAUAACCUGCCCUGAGGCAAGUAAUCUCAUGCCGGGAUUGUAUCUCAGCCUACGGCCCUUCUAAUUUAGAAGGUGGCGCUUAAGCCGCAGACUGUUGUAACAGACUAAAACGUUACAC